rnacentral:rRNA from 1 species
GCCUGCAUGAAGUCGGAAUUGCUAGUAAUCGCGGAUCAGCAUGCCGCGGUGAAUACGUUCCCGGGCCUUGUACACACCGCCCGUCACACCAUGGGAGUCGGUAACACCCGAAGCCGAUAGUCUAACGAAAGAGGACGUCGUCGAAGGUGGGAUUGAUGACUGGGGUGAAGUCGUAACAAGGUACC